CACUACCAGUAUGUCUGGAAAGAGGGCUCUAUCAGGAGAGGGGGGAGCCAGGCACCCAGCACAUCCCAGCUCUCCUUGUAUUACUGCUUCCGGGCCAUUUUUCCCCCAGGAAUGCAACUCCUCCUCCUCCUCCUUCACAAGCUUCAUUCUUCCUCUGUUUCUCAGCUACUGAGAGCUCCCUCCCGUCCCCUCGGGCUAAAUGCUCAGCCUGAUCAAYGUGCUCCCGGCUGAGUUCUGGUGUUAAUCAACGAGGCGCCUGGAGUCGGAAAUUACAGCUGAUUGCUGUGCUCCCGGGGGAACGGGGACCACCCCAGCUGUGCUGGCUGACCGCUCCGCACCAAUGCCGGCGACAUACCCACGGUAGCCUCUGCGCCUGGGAAGGUGGCCAUCACUGCAUUGAUUGCUAUUGCGUGUGUGGAUCUAGCCGAUGUUUCUUGAAAUCUCCUGCUCUGAACUUGUUGUACCUAUCCAGUCACUGCAUGUGGUGCCAGCAGCAAGACAGUUUUACUUAUAUUCCCAUCCUGAGUGGUCUCCAUGACAGUCAACAUAUUCCAUCGGGACUCAAGGCUCACAGGAAAACUGAAGUGAAGUCCCCCGCUCCGUGUCAUGUUGCCCUACCUGUGCCCAAAGCGUGAUGGCUGCAAGGCAUAGGAAGUCGGAAAGCAUCCCCUGUCCCCGUGCAGCGAGGUGCCAGCUGUGCAGGUGACACCUCUAGAGCACAAAGAGCCAUUUCCAAAGCAGCCUCUGGCAGUGGGUCUGCCUGAGGAGCUGGUGCACAGGCAGGUACAAAUCCCCAGCUGGGGUCACUGCUGUGAUCGGUUUCAGAGCAGGCAGCUCCCAACAAGCUCUGGCAGCUUCUCAAAAUGAGAAAACAUGGUCUCUGUUUAAUUAUGGGUUUGUAAGCAGGCCUUAGUGGCCUCCUGCACAGAGCCCGCUUUUCCCCUCGUGCAUGGAUGGUGUGGGCUAAGAUCAGGUUAUGGAUGUUUCUCUGCAUCUGGACAACAAACUUUAGUUGUGCCUGCGUCUUGGCUGUCCAAAGCUGCACGCUCUCACACAGCGUAUGCCCCUAAGCACAAUCUCCUUGAACAAGCGGAGCAAUAGGUGCUUUGCAGCGAGACUCCUGCCCUYGCCGAAGGUUCGGUCCCAGACAGGCUGCUGGCAGCAGUUGCAAAAGAAGGGCUUUUAAUGGUGAGAGCGUCAUGGAGGAGAGGGGCCAUCUGUCAGAUCCCCAGCCACUAACGUGGGCAAGGAGGCUACAGUGGAGGCAGACUGCUUCUUGGCUUAAUUCUGCUGGAGUUCUUAUCCCAAGGGUGAUGCUGGACUCAAGCCAAGAUAUGUGGAGCUCAGCAUAAUGCUGGCUUGCAUGCUGACCACAUCAGUCGCAAAUUAAGUACAAGCUUUUCUGUAUGCUGCCUAUAAUUGUUUAAUUUAAUGAUAUUGCUUAAAACGUGGCAUAUAUGACGCUCUGAUUUAUACCCAGUUUUCUCCCCUCUUCGAAGGAACUACCCAAUUUCCUGAAAACUGAAGCCUGAAAAACACGAUGUGUAAUAGAGUGCAAUUUUAUAAUACAGACUCUUACUGCAAUGUGCAAAUAUAAAUGUAGUCAUUCAUUCCUGAGAUAUUUUCUAUAUGUGCUGGAUUCUCAAAACCACUUUAUAUACUGAAGUUUAGUAAUGUGCAGUCUGGUUCCACCACUGUCAGGCAACAAAUAAACUCCGAGAACUGAAGCA
ensembl:lncRNA